rnacentral:piRNA from 1 species
UGAACUACUGGAAGUGAUAAUCUGCAC